rnacentral:rRNA from 1 species
UACAGAGACUGCAAGCGUUAUUCGGAUUCACUGGGCGUAAAGGGUGCGCAGGCGGCCGAGUGUGUGAGGCGUGAAAGCCCGGGGCUUAACCCCGGGUCUGCAUUCGAUACGGGCAGGCUAGAGUUCGGUAGGGGAGAUCGGAAUUCCUGGUGUAGCGGUGAAAUGCGCAGAUAUCGGGAGGAACACCCGUAGCGAAGGCGGCACUCUGGGCCGGAACUGACGCUGAGGAGCGAAAGCGUGGGGAGCAAACAGG